CCUACGGGAGGCAGCAGUCGAGAAUCAUUCACAAUGGGGGAAACCCUGAUGGUGCGACGCCGCGUGGGGGAAUGAAGGUCUUCGGAUUGUAAACCCCUGUCAUGUGGGAGCAAAUUAAAAAGAUAGUACCACAAGAGGAAGAGACGGCUAACUCUGUGCCAGCAGCCGAGGUAAUACAGAGGUCUCAAGCGUUGUUCGGAAUCAUUGGGCGUAAAGCGUGCGUAGGCUGUUUCGUGAGUCGUGUGUGAAAUGCCCGGGCUCAACCCGCGGACGGCACAUGAUACUGCGAGACUAGAGUAAUGGAGGGGGAACCGGAAUUCUCGGUGUAGCAGUGAAAUGCGUAGAUAUCGAGAGGAACACUCGUGGCGAAGGCGGGUUCCUGGACAUUAACUGACGCUGAGGGACGAAGGCCAGGGGAGCGAAAGGGAUUAGAUACCCUUGUAGUC
rnacentral:rRNA from 1 species